rnacentral:lncRNA from 1 species
AACGAAGUGGACACGGAUCCGGAUUUCUUUGAUUUUCGGCGCUCCGCUUUCUUGCCGGCUCCGAUUCGGUAACGGAGGCGGACUUGGGAGAGACGGGAUUCGAAUGGGUCGGAUUCGGCUGAGGUGUCCGAGGAGGGGGCGGAGUCGGGUUCGGUUGAUGAGUCAGCGUCGGAGUCAGGAGUGGCACGCGGGAUAAUGGAAAUUUGGGGUUUGCGUAAAGCGAGGAAGAGUGCUCGUGGGGAUGGGAAAGAGGUUGUCGCCGUU